AGCGAACGCUGGCGGCAGGCUUAACACAUGCAAGUCGAGCGCCCCGCAAGGGGAGCGGCAGCCGGGUGAGGAACACGUGGGAACGUGCCUUUUGGUUCGGAACCACACAGGGAAACUUGGGCUAAUACCGGCUCAGCCCUUACGGGGACAGAUUUAUCGCCAAAAGAUCGGCCCGCGUCUGAUUAGCUAGUUGGUGGGGUAAUGGCCCACAAAGGCUACGAUCAGUAGCUGGUCUGAGAGGAUGGUCAGCCACAUUGGGACUGAGACACGGCCCAAACUCCUACGGGAGGCAGCAGUGGGGAAUAUUGGACAAUGGGGGCAACCCUGAUCCAGCCAUGCCGCGUGAGUGAUGAAGGCCUUAGGGUUGUAAAGCUCUUUUAGCAGGGAAGAUAAUGACGGUACCUGCAGAAAAAGCCCCGGCUAACUUCGUGCCAGCCGCCGCAGUAA
rnacentral:rRNA from 1 species